rnacentral:lncRNA from 1 species
UAGGUUAUAACUGUGGCCGGACACCCCCCGUUACCUAGUCGCCCUCCCGGAGUCUCUCACGGAAGCCGGUGAAGUGCAGACGUGGGGAAGAAGUUCACUGCGUCGCGUCUUGGUCAAAGACCGGGUUUGGGAAGCCAUAGCACCUCGAGUGUGUGUCGCGCAAGUUGGUGUCGUGGCUGGGCGUGGUCGGAACCGAGAACCGGAGCUCGGCGUUACCUCGGCUUUGUCCCGCGCGAGGGGGAUUGGCUCCAGUACCGCACCACCGCAGGUAUGGCCACUUCUGUCGUCUUCGUUGACCAGUCCUUGACGUAUGGUGAGCCGCGGGAGAGGGAAUUAUACAUCUGCGGGUUUUGAAUUGCUCGUCAGAGCCAAUUGACUCUGUGGCACCGAGCCACGCCGUGGGCAGGGUAGUGCCAUCACUCAAACAUUAAAUCGGGGGUCUCGUCUGUUUCGCCUUGCGUCAGGCUGUGUUUUUAGCCACCGGCCGCGGGUGCAGGCGUCGGUGGGUAUCGAAUCGAGGAACGCUAGUGUGGUCAUCGCCAUGAACACGGUGGCGCGGUCGUGCUUGAGGUUGGGCAUGGGUAGCGCGGCAUCCGACCGUCGAUCUGAAAGCAUGUGGCUACGAUUAGAACGAAGAUAACCCUUCGAUGCUUGUGAUCCUAGCCACUGGUGGGUGAUCUCGGGGUGGAGAUUCAAUCAUCGCGUCGGCGUAUUGUGGGCUGUACAAUUUGGAUCCAAGGAUCCGUAUCACGCACCGGUCGACUCAGUUAUGUGAUCUAAUCUCACCCAUGAAGAUCUGAUCGGGCGACUCUAGUGCGCCAGUACCCCUUCGGUGUGGGCGAACUUGUAAAAGAGACCCUGAGAAAUUGGCUAAUUAACCCGCAGUCUAGCACAAGGAGUUCUCAGUCUUAUGAUGUUUUACGCAGAGGCCCCUACACUUCCUGAAUAUAGUAAGCGCAAUCCAUACAUUUAAUAAAACAGAGAAAUUGGUUUAGAAAAUGAUUUUUAGUACACAACUAAUUGCAAAAACUUGUUUAAUUCCUAGAAAAUUCAUUUUAGCUCCUUUUUAAUCCAUUCCAGUUCCUAUAAUUUUGUAUUAAUAUUGUUUAUCACUUAAUAACAUUGUUUUAGCAUGAAACCCAUAUUAAGUUUGAUCACUUAAUUAAUCUUGUACCAAACACAUAAAACCUUCGGAAAUUCAAAACUCGAAAUCCGUAACUCUGAAUGUAGUGAUUCUUUUUCCUAUGAUCUCGUUACAACACAUAGAUUAUUAUUAUGUAUUCUGUAUUCAUGUUUGGUGUGAUGUUAUUUUAUCCCUCGUACCAUGUUUGUUUGCAUUAUGACGAGUAGACGAGCCAGUGGCCGAGGAUCCAGGUGUUCAGCAGGUAGAAGUUGCUGAGCAGGAGCUCAUUGAAGGCAUGUUGUGCCCUUGACCACUUUAUUUACCCAAUAAUGUUCUCUAUAAUCAUUUUAUCAUGAAUAGGCUUAAUUUUGAUGGGACCCAAUAGGCCACCCUAGUCUGGUUAUCUUUAUACCUUGUUUAACCCUGAAUUUUUUGGUAGUCCUUGCUAUUGCUAUAUAUGGUUUUGAGUGUUGAGACAACUAUUACACAUGAUCACUCUUUAUUACUGUUCUAUUUCUAUUCAUGAUAAGACAACUAUGUUAAUUGGAACAUCGAUCUUAACUUGAGAAACACGUGCCACCACAAGGGUGGAAUGGGACGCCCUUGGCUGACUAACUAGGAAAGCUAGUGGAGGACUACCUUUCCCAAAAGGGGCAAGGGCAGUAGGGGAGUAGGCGUGUAGGGAGGUUCCGGGGUUGAUUUUGCUCCGAUGGCGGUCAGACGGGGGAUUCCUGCAUUGCUCUUCCUAGAAACUGUAGCGGGUUUUCUGAAGCUAGUGGAACUUUGUAAAAGCCUUGUAGUGGAUCCCUAGCUAUUCACCUCGGAAGUGUCUAAGGGUCUAGCUAACACUGGCUAGAUGGGAUACACGACUUGUGGGUACUGGGUACGACCUCUGCAGAGUGUAAAACUGGUAUACUAGCCAUGCUCGCGGUAAUGAGCCGCUCAAUACUCUUGCAUGAUUAAUUUAUGGAAUUAAAUUCAAUUUAUCAUUUGCAUCGCAUUGGGAUUUAUUAUUAAUUCUGAUCUACUAUUACUCUGGUUUGGUUCUACUUACAUUUAGUAACUACUAAUAAAAUUUGACCAACUUAUUAAAAGCAAUGCUCAACUUUAACCCUUAUUUAUUGGUCAGCCUUACUCUUCACAUGAACUCCCACCUUUGGUAAGUUCAUGCACGUUAUUCCCCACAACUUGUUGAGCUAUGAUCUUUUGUGAGAUCACCCUUGCGAGAUAUAACCCCCCACAGGAGAAGAACAUGUGAUCUAGGAGGAGCCGUACAAUGAGGAGUACGAGUUGAUCUAGGUGGCGCCUUCGAGUCAGCUUUGUGGCGCCAAGGAAUAAUACUUAGUUCGCUUUAUUAUUAUCAUUUAUUUUGUUAAGACUUCCGCUAUGUAAUAAUGACAUUUAUGAUAUUUGUGACAUUUAUCUCUAUACACUUUGUCAUUAUAUGUGAUGUUCUUCUUUGGCACACAUAUGAGAUGCACCCGGCUUUAUCACUUAAAUCCGGGUGUGACAGAAAUGGUAUCAGAGGAAUGUUGACUGUAGGACGAAACCUAGAUAGACCUAGACAAAACCCUUACCUACUUACAUCACUCUAAUUCUUUCUAUACUUAUCUUGAUUCUGUCUCACCUUUUGUUGUUCUACUUUGAUUACUCUUAUCUUUCUACUCUAGAAAGACAAGAAGGAUUUCACACCUUGGAAUCCUACAUUUAUGACCCUCUGAAGAGAUAGGAGACCUAAGACAAAAUUUAAAAUUAUUUUCUCUAUUUGAAGCAAUUGGAUGUUUGUUCUGAUGGUAAAUGCAUGAUUUGCUUCUUUGACUGAAUGAAAUAGUAUAGCAGGGCAUUCUAGCAUGUACCACUAUAAGGUAAUAUAUUAGCAUUAGUAGGUGACACAUUAAUCUACUUAGCUAAUAAAACCCCCAAAAGAUCAUGUCUCGUAAUUACUCGUCUUGCCUACAAUUCUUUCUUACCGUGUAUUUCUAACCCAGAUGGUCAAUACCAGGAAGGGAGGCGGAAUUGAUCUACCUAUCAACCCACACAACCAGAGGGUGCUUAGACAACAACAAGCAGAAAUGAACCCUCUGAAUCCUCCACCGGCUGGGAUAGAUCCAGUGGUUGCAACUCAGAUGUAGAUGCUGCAACAAAUGGUGAAUACUAUGACGGAUAUGCAAGCUCAGAUGCGACAAGAACGUCAAGAGAUGUGCCAGGAAAGGCAUGAGAUGAGAGAGGAAAUGAGGCAAGAGAGGAUGGUACGACAGCAACAAGCACCAAUGCCCCCCACCACCAGUU